GGGGCUGGGGCUCAGUGGCAGAGCACUCACCUAGUAUGUGCGAGGUGCUGGGUUCGAUCCUCAGCCCCA
rnacentral:tRNA from 1 species